rnacentral:rRNA from 1 species
AUUGAACGCUGGCGGCAGGCCUAACACAUGCAAGUCGAGCGAGCGGCGGACGGGUGAGUAAUGUCUGGGAAACUGCCUGAUGGAGGGGGAUAACUAAUGGAAACGGUAGCUAAUACCGCAUAUCACCAGAUGUGCCCAGAGGGGAUUAGCUAGUAGGUGGGGUAACGGCUCACCUAGGCGACGAUCCCAAGCUGGUCUGAGAGGAUGACCAGCCACACUGGAACUGAGACACGGUCCAGCCUCCUACGGGAGGCAGCAGUGGGGAAUAUUGCACAAUGGGCGCAAGCCUGAUGCAGCCAUGCCGCGUGUAUGAAGAAGGCCUUCGGGUUGUAAAGUACUUUCAGCGAGGAGGCGUUACCCGCAGAAGAAGCACCGGCUAACUCCGUGCCAGCCGCCGCGGUAAUUC